CGCGGCGCUUGUAACAAUGUAAACAAAUGGACGUGUCCUCGAACUUGGAGCCAAACGGAGGGGCUGAAUCGAUCUUUAAUCGAGCUGUCACAACCGGGAGAAAGGUUUAUCCGAAUCUUGGGAGAUCAGCAGGUAAAAUAAGAAGUCAAAGCUUACAGGGAGCUUUAUUAUGGCUGGAUGGUACAUGUUACAUAAAAAUUCUAUUUUUCCCCAUCUAAUUCAUGAAAUGGCAUCCAUCCUAUUGUCAGUGCUGUCAGGGAAAAAGAUGAACUGGUGUAUUACAACCUAAGACAAAGUGUUGAGAUGUUUGGCAGUCCUAUACAUUCACAGAGAAAAUGUUCUGCUGGAAAUAUGGGGCAACAUUCAGCCUGUACACACAUAGACUAGGGAUUCCACCAAAAACUGAAAGAGAAAAGAAGCUGAUGUACUCAAACAAUCCCUGGCAAGAGAAAUUAAUUUGUGAAAUGAAAGAAUGCACAGACAUAACAUUUUAAUAUUUGUUUGUACAA